rnacentral:rRNA from 1 species
AGGGUUCGAUCAUGGCUCAGAACGUACGCUGGCGGCACGCCUAAUACAUGCAAGUCGAACGAAGUAGCAAUACUUAGUGGCAGACGGGUGGGUAACAUGUGGGUAUCUUCCCUUUGGUGAGGAAUAACACGAGGAAACUUGUGCUAAUACCUCAUAAGUCUUUACGGAGAAAGCUUUAUGCGCCAUUGGAUGAGCCUGCACUUGAUUAGUUUGUUGGUGGGGUAAUGGCCUACCAAGACAAUGAUCAAUAGCUGAUUUGAGAGGAUGAUCAGCCACAUUGGGACUGAGACACGGCCCAAACUCCUACGGGAGGCAGCAGUAGGGAAUCUUGCACAAUGGAGGAAACUCUGAUGCAGCGAUGCCGCGUGAGUGAAGAAGGCCUUUGGGUUGUAAAGCUCUUUCGUCGGGGAAGAAAAUGACUGUACCCGAAUAAGAAGGUCCGGCUAACUUCGUGCCAGCCGCCGCGGUAAUUC